AUGGGCUCCGCCUCCGCCUCCUCGCUCCCGACAUCCGCCGGCGCUGGCGAGAACUUGGUCCUCAUUCUCGACUUCGGCUCGCAGUACACCCAGCUCAUCACCCGCCGCGUCCGGCAGCUGGGAGUCCUCUCACUGUGCGUCUCCGGCACCGCGCCGCUCUCCUCCCUCACCGGGCUACGUCCCCGCGCCGUCAUACUCUCCGGCGGACCCCACUCCGUCCACGCCUCGGGCGCGCCCUCCUUCCCUGAGGGAUUCCUCGAUUUCGCUGCCGAAGCGGGCGCGCAUGUUCUGGGCGUGUGCUACGGUAUGCAGCUCCUAGUUCAGUCCCUCGGCGGCGCCGUCGAGGCUGGCGAGCGGCAGGAGUACGGCGAUAUGGAGGUAGAGACUACUGCGACGUCCUCCGCGCUGUACGGCGAGAACGGGGUGGGGAACAGACAGUCGGUGUGGAUGAGCCACGGCGACGAGGUGGUCAGACUGCCUCAGGGGUUCGAGGUUGUGGCACGAAGUGUGCAGGGCGCAAUCGCAGCCAUCGAGCAUCGGGAGAAGCGUUUUUAUGGACUCCAGUACCACCCGGAGGUGACACAUUCGACCCAAGGAAAGGAAACACUGCGCCGCUUUCUUUUUGAUGUUUGUGGGAUUAAAGCUGACUGGAAGAUUCAGGAUGUGCUGGAUGAGGAAAUUAAGAACAUCAAAAGUAUGGUCGGGACUGAUGAACAUGUGAUUUGCGCGUUAUCAGGAGGAGUUGAUUCGACAGUUGCAGCCACACUCGUUCAUAACGCAAUAGGUGAUAGGCUUCAUUGUGUUUUUGUUGACAAUGGUCUAUUGAGAUACAAGGAGAAGGAACGAGUAAUGUCAACCUUCAAUAGUGACUUGCACCUUCCUGUCACAUGUAUUGAUGCCUCGGAGCAAUUUCUUAGCAAGUUAAAAGGAGUCAAAGACCCAGAGAUGAAAAGAAAGAUUGUUGGCAAAGAAUUCAUAGCUGUCUUUGAUGAAUUUGCUCACAUGUUAGAACAGCAGACAGGAAAAAGACCUGAAUAUUUAGUUCAAGGAACAUUAUACCCUGAUGUGAUUGAAUCAUGCCCACCCCCUGGGAGUGGUAUGACACAUUCCCACACCAUCAAAAGCCAUCACAAUGUAGGUGGUCUUCCUGAAGAUAUGAAAUUGAAGCUCAUUGAACCACUCAAGCUCCUAUUUAAGGAUGAGGUGCGGAAGUUGGGCAGUAUCUUAAAUAUCCCAGAGUCAUUCUUAAAGCGACAUCCAUUUCCCGGGCCUGGUCUUGCUGUACGUAUCCCAUCAGGUGAUGUUACAGAAGGCAAUGCUUUGGAGGUUCUUCGUCAGGCGGAUGAGAUAUAUGUUCAAGCCAUUAGAGAUGCAGGACUCUAUGAUACAAUUUGGCAAGCUUUUGCUGUGCUUUUGCCUGUCGAAACAGUUGGGGUCCAGGGUGACCAGAGAACUUACGGCUAUCCGGUUAUUUUAAAGGCAAUUACCAGUGAGGAUGGCAUGACUGCAGAUUGGUAUUAUUUUGAACGCAAGUUCCUGGCCGAUGUGUCGAAUAGGAUCUGCAACAAUGUGCGAGGCGUUAACCGUGUUUGCCUGGAGAUAACAUCGAAGCCACCAGCGACAGUGGAGUGGGAAUAG
rnacentral:rRNA from 1 species